UCCCUGGUGGUCUAGUGGCUAAGAAUCUGUGCUUCCGACACAGGGGUCCCAGGUUCGAUCCCUGGUCAGGGAA